rnacentral:rRNA from 1 species
GAUUCUGCCUGACGUGGACGCUAGUCUCACAGAUUUAGCCAUGCAUGUGUAAGCGAAGCUUUUAGUGGAGCGGUGAAAGGCUCAGUAACGGGCGAUUUAUUUGUUCUCCUGGGACGGACAACAUCGGGAAACUGAUGGGAAAACGUCUAAGUUGCAGUUUAUUGAUUGUGACGUAAACCAUAGUGUGCAGGAGAGUAAGAUGCCAUCCUAUCAGUUAGUAAGUAGGGUAAGGGCCUACUUAGACGAAGACGGGUACGGGGAAUGAGGGUUUGAUUCCGGAGAGGGAGCCUGAGAGACGGCUACCAGGACCAAGGUCAGCAGCAGGCGCGAAAAUUAUCGAAGCCCGCCUAGGGGCGAUAGUGAGGAGACGUGUAUAACGAAGUACGUGUAAAGAACGUGCUAAUAACUGGAGGUCAAGUCUGGUGCCAGCAUCCGCGGUAAUUCCAGCUCCAGGGGUGUCUAUGAUGAUUGCUGCGAUUAAAAAGUCCGUAGUCAAUCUGACUGACUGACCUGUAAUGUGAUUGAUUAAAGAACGAACAGGGUUAGGAAAGCAGAGAAUUAGGAGCGACCGAGGGCUAGAGUAUUGAAUGGCGAGAGGUGAAAUUUGAUGACCCAUUCAGGAGUGACAAAGGCGAAGGCACUAGUCAAGGGCGAAUCCGAUGAUCAAGGACGUAGGCUAGAGUUUCGAAAACGAUUAGAGACCGGAGUAGUUCUAGCAGUAAACUAUGCCGACGCCGUGGUAUCAAGUUUGGUAUUGCGGAAGAGAAAUCAAGUAAGGCUUUGGGGAGAGUACGCGCGCAAGCGAUAAAUUUAAAGGAAAUUGACGGAGGAACACCACAAGGAGUGGAGUGUGCGGCUUAAUUUGACUCAACGCGGGACAGCUUACCAGGCCCGAUAACCGAGCGAGCGUAGUACGCGAUAGGUUAAAAGUGGUGCAUGGCUGCUAUCGACAGUUGGGGUGACCUUAGGGUAAUCCGGCAAGUAAUGAGACCCUGCAGAUAGUGGACAGGUAUUUAAAUACAGGAAGGAAGGGACAAGAGCAGGUCAGUGAUGCCCUUAGAUGGCCUGGGCUGCACGCGCACUACAGUGGUCAUUAUAAGUAGAAGUUAGAUAUAAAGAUGAUCGAGAGGGACUGAGCUUUGUAAGAGGCUCACGAACGAGGAAUUGCUAGUAAUCGUAGGCUCAUUAAGAUACGAUGAAUAUGUCCCUGUACCUUGUACACACCGCCCGUCGUUAUCGAAGAUGGAAUUGUGUGCGAACGAGCAACAAGCGAGUGAGCGCAUAGUUCUAGAUGUGAUAAAAGUCGUAACAAGGCAACUGUAGGAGAACCUGUAGUUGGAUCAUACAGAUUUUUUUAUUAAAAGUUUGAGAAACAUAUUCCUUACGCAAGGGAUCGUUUGGUUCUAUGUACGAUGAAGGUCGRAGCUGUAUUCGAUAAAAUGARAUGAUUGUAUAAAUUGUCUCAUAUUACUGAAUAGAGUGGUGAUGCUCGAGUACUCCUUUGAAUUAAGCAUAUGAGUAAAGGAAGGAAAAGGAACUAACAAGGAUUCUCUUAUUAGUGGCGAAUGAACAGAGAAGAGCCCUUAAGUGUAAUC